UACGAAGGGGGCUAGCGUUGCUCGGAAUCACUGGGCGUAAAGCGCACGUAGGCGGGUCCUUAAGUCAGGGGUGAAAUCCCGGAGCUCAGCUCCGGAACUGCCUUUGAUACUGGGGAUCUUGAGUCCGGAAGAGGUGAGUGGAACUCCGAGUGUAGAGGUGAAAUUCGUAGAUAUUCGGAAGAACACCAGUGGCGAAGGCGGCUCACUGGUCCGGUACUGACGCUGAGGUGCGAAAGCGUGGGGAGCAAACAGG
rnacentral:rRNA from 1 species